CAUCAGUUGCAUGAUGCCCUCGGACGCGUGACGUGUCCAGUGUUGUUCCGGUACCGAUGUCCGUGGUGUGGUGCCACAGGCGAGCACGCGCACACCGUCAGUUACUGCCCCACCAACCCUUACCGACGGUCGUCCGUUCUGACGGCACGCACACCACGUAAGAGUUGUGGAUGCUUGCGCACCUGUCAACACCACUUUAGUCGGAAACAUUGAAAGGACCACGUUACCAACUAAAGAUGGCAUCAAACGUUGACGGACCGAACUCAUUUGUGAAGAAUUGACUGGGGUUUUUUUGCGACCAUGCAUGUUUCAAUGUUCUUGAAUAAAAUGUAAAUGAUGAUUGCAUGUAGAUUUUUGUUUAGAUUUGUUUUGACCAUGUAAUCUCACUUGAUAUGUUUUGAAUGUAUUAGAUGUGUUUGAUAUGUAGAAAUCUAGAUGAAAUGUAUUAGAAUGACAAUUAAAUGCAGUUCAUCGUGUUGAAAUGAAUGAUUUUUUUUAUGUUUAUUCAAAAUCCCGAAAAAUUAUGUUUGUUUCUUAAUAAAUCAUUUUAAACC
rnacentral:misc_RNA from 1 species